UACAGAGGUCUCAAGCGUUGUUCGGAUUCAUUGGGCGUAAAGGGUGCGUAGGUGGCGCUGUAAGUCGGGUGUGAAAUUUCGGAGCUUAACUCCGAAACUGCAUUCGAUACUGCGGUGCUUGAGGACUGGAGAGGAGACUGGAAUUCAUGGUGUAGCAGUGAAAUGCGUAGAGAUCAUGAGGAAGACCAGUGGCGAAGGCGGGUCAUCUGGGCCGUAACUGACGCUGAGGAGCGAAAGCAUGGGGAGCGAACAGG
rnacentral:rRNA from 1 species